UUGUCGUUUUACUUACUCUAACUUAUCUAAUCAGAGUAAACCUGUAUAGGGGAAUUCGAACACAGGGAAAGAAUACCGCAUGAGCUUACACGUUAGGGUCACACAAUUAACUGUAUUCCGCACUACUUAAAACAUCCAGGAAACACUACAAUGCUUUCCACUUCCUAAUAAUACUCCACCAUCACUGAUAACCAACAACAUGUAAUCCCGCACUAUCCUAAAUGACAGGACAUAAUCAUACUAUAAUCCAAAUUCUGGAGUUCUUCACCAUUAACUGCCUUCACAUUACAGUGUUUCACACAAACACAGACUCAUUCUCUCUGCUGAACUACAUUCAGAUUUCAGCAUUCAAUCUCUCUUCUUCUCAUUCAAUAACAUAUAAUUCCAUUCACACUUUCAUUCCAUGAUUCACUUCACAAU
rnacentral:lncRNA from 1 species